GACUAUAGAGAGAGAGAGAGAGAGUGAGAGACAGUGAGAGACAGGGGCAGAGAGGGACGGAGGGAAAGAGUUACUCAGACAAAUCACAUGACCCGUUUCCUACAUCUUUGCUUCCCUAUGUUGGACAUCCAUCGUUUAUUCUUGAGCAUUGGGUUGAAAGACUAGUCGAAAUUUCACUGGCUAGCGCGGAACAAAACUAUUUGGGAAAUUGAAUCUAUAAACAGGAAUCGACAUGUCAGAGUCCAUUGUUCCCCCUGAAGUGAGACCCAAACCUGCUGUCCCUGCCAAGCCCCCUCAUGUCGCAGCACCAUCCCCCACAGCACCCCAUGGACCAUCAGGGCUAGGUGGCGGGGUCGGGGUUGAUCGAGUUCCAGGGUUGGGACACUCGGGUGGUGGAUCCACGUUGCUGGGAUACAUUGGGAUUGACACCAUCAUCGAGCAGAUGAGGAAGAAGACCAUGAAGGCUGGUUUCGACUUCAAUAUUAUGAUAGUGGGUCACAGCGGGCUGGGGAAGUCAACGCUGGUAAACACGCUGUUCAAGUCCCAGGUCAGCAGGUGGAGCUCAGGAUGGGGCGGCGAGCAUAAGAUCCCCAAGACAGUGGAGAUCAAGGCUGUGUCCCACGUGAUCGAGGAGGGCGGAGUGAAGAUGAAGUUGACAGUAAUCGACACACCAGGUUUUGGUGAUCAGAUCAACAAUGAAAACUGCUGGGAUCCCAUCUCCAAGUACAUCAACGAGCAGUAUGAGAAGUUCCUGAAGGAAGAGGUCAAUAUUGCUCGAAAGAAGCGAAUACCUGACACCAGAGUUCACUGCUGCCUCUACUUUAUCUCCCCAACGGGACACUCUCUUCGACAGCUGGACAUUGAGUUUAUGAAGCACCUAAGUCGUGUGGUGAACAUCAUCCCCGUCAUCGCCAAGUCUGAUACCAUGACCCCUGACGAGAAGAAUGAGUUCAAACAUAGGGUGAGGAAGGAGCUGGAGACGUAUGGGAUUGAGUACUACCCGCAGAAUGAGUUUGAUGAUGAUAUGGAGGAUAAGAAUGAAAAUGACAAGAUUAGGUCUGUUCACAGGAGGCCAUGCCCUUUGCAGUGGUGGGCAGCGACAAGGAGUUCCAAGUGAACAGUAAACGGGUUCUGGGGAGGAAGACAGCCUGGGGUGUGGUAGAAGUUGAAAAUCCCAAUCACUGCGAAUUUGCUCUGCUACGAGAUUUCCUCAUCAGGUCUCACCUCCAGGACCUGAAGGAGGUCACCCACAACAUCCACUAUGAAACCUACCGCGCCAGGAGACUCAACGACAACGGAGGUCUGCACCCCAUCUCGGCCAACAACACUCAAGAGAGCAACCUUUAAAUUUAAGACUAGGGAUUAAGGAAAGAGAGAGAUAAACAGAGAGAUCAAAAGAUAUUGAUAGACAAAUCUAUGUUGUGAUUUAAGCAUCACUGCAUGCUUUGGAGAACAUUAUAGAUGUGGAAUUCAUUGUCACUCAAAAUAUCAUGUUAGGAGAGCUUUCAUUCCAAAACACGUCCUACGUCUCCCUUUCCUCCGCCCAUCGUCCUAAACCACCCACACUCACAUCCCAGUGACACCUGGGAUUAACCUUUGAUCCUGCAAUCCAAAACAAGGCCAACCCCAGUGUUUCCCCUGAAUGCAUUUUGCAACGGCACAAUAAAUAGUGGGCGCCACUGCAAAUUUAUUUUGUUAUUUUUGUUAUAAUGUAGAUGUGUAGAUGUAUGCCCCAGGAAGAACCCAUCCGCCGCCCCCCGCAGGAAGACCCAAGGAAGACCCCAUCUGCCACCCCCAGCUAAAUCUGCAACCCAAAGCAUUUUGGGAUUGAAGGGAAGGAAUCAAAUGAAGUACUUCAAAUUCGAGGGAAUUCCCUUUAUUCAUAAAAAAUGGAUUUCCUAUUUCCGCUCACCUUGUGCUCUACUCAUCCUUGCCCUGUAAGUACACAGUAUGUUAUGUAGCUGCCACUAUAAGAAUUGAUUUUGUGCUGAAAUGAUUUAUGAAGGGGCUGGUAAAUGAGCACCUCAACUUCCCCAGAAGCAUUGUGACAUAAAUAUAAAUUGUCAAAGGGCUUUAUUUAUUUACAAUAUAGCUAUUUUGUCAUUUUAUCUUUAAAUUGCACAAAAUAUAGAAAUCACAGUCUGAAAUGUUCUUUGCCAUUCACAACUUUUGUGGGUGUUUUUUUUUUAAAGCUCUGAUGUCAAGGUGAUGUGCCAAUUCCCUUUAAUGCUGGGCAGCCGGCUUUCCUUCUCUCUGCCACCCGAGGGCAGUGCUUCCCUGCGCAUACUCACCCUGUGACAGGAAAUUAUUUACUCAUAGACUUAGAUAGAUGUCUCUUUUUAGUCCUGUAUCUAUCUCUAUGGUUUACUUCCCUCCCUCCUAUUCACUCCCUCCACUUCAUCUGGUGACCCAUGCCCAGUGCAUGUUUACAAGAAGUCCUCCAUUACCAGAGUAAUCAUUCCAAAUAUAACCAAUCAGUUAUGACAUGGUAAUGUUAACCAAGGUUUCUUAUGGAAAUCACCCUUCGAUAGAGCACAGGUAUUCCAGAAGUAGCCUACAAGCAAUUAAGUUAAACUAUAUUUAUCAAACAAUUCACUUUUGAUCUAAACUGUAUCCUAAAAGGGGUUUCCCUGCAAAAUGUUUAUACAAUCAUACAGAGUGUGUGUGUUUGUAUGUGUGUGAGUGAGAAGUGACUCAAUUUGGUGUCUAACGUUUGGAAAUGUGUAGUUGUAUAUCAUUAGUGUGGUAUUAGUGAAGACGUUUUUUCAAGGAACAAUUUAAAUAAUACAAAAAAACAAUUCUCACUUGUUUCUAUACAAUGUUUUUAUGUGUGCAUGUCAGGAAACAUGUCUCCUAGUCCUUCUGUCAUUUUCAUUUAAGGAUAUCCCCAGCUCGCAUAUCAAUGCACAGUAAUUUCAAUAUAUUAACCAUUUUUUAACGUGGUGUGUACAUCAACCGACCGCUAAUAACAAUGCAUCACUAAAACUCCAGUAACUCAAAUCAUUCCACAUCUCUUAAAAACAGCAGUGAAACUUUUGGCUGUGAAUUUCCUGUUAUCGUUUCAUUUAAAACCCAUUUUUCUUAAAAGUUGUUCUGAUAUGCUGAGAUGUCAUUUCAGUAUUGCAUUCAUUAUUUAUAUAUUCAUGUAUUAUUUAUAGUAAUUUAUUGUUUAUUUAAUAAAAAUACUUUUGCCAUCUCUUGA